rnacentral:lncRNA from 1 species
GGGACCACCGGGACCUCCAGGACCACCGGGAAGUGUAAGUAAAAUACACCUUAUUGUCUCUUAUCAUCCUCCUAGUGUUAUAGUACAUCAAACACAUAGUAGUUACGGAAAGAAAGUUUGCUUUCUGAUAAGCUAAAUAUUUCACCACAACACCCGAAAAGAAGAGGGAUCUUGGGAUCAUGAGGAACAUUUGCCUUACCAAGAAGAUCGAAGAUCAUUUAAUUUUUUUUUCACACAUACGUUGUGGGAGAAUCAUUAUAUCAUACUUACUUAUCUCUCAUUUGAGGCAUGUAAUAUAAAAUAAAAUUUAAUAAAUACAGUCAAGUAUAUUCUGUUGUUGCAUACAUACAUCGUGACGUAAUAUACCGUCAAAAUUUUCCAUCUUUUUGCGCACUUUUGACGAACAUUUCAAAAAGGCAAAUACAGAAUCUGAGGAACAGUAAACACUUGCCCCAUGUCUGUUCACCACAAAUCAGAUACCGCAAGCGUUCUUUCGGAAAAACAUGGCUACGAAAUAAUGUUUCCACAACAAUGCGAGUAAGUUGAGGAGGCUCAACCAUACUCUCAAGCAAUAUGUAAUUUAGGUUGGUUCAUAAACUGCAUGAUUAGUAAAGUAUGAACAGUUUUCAUAUUCUUCAAGGAUGGUAUUUUCUAAAACCAUUUAAUCUAUUCAGGUGCAAACUGGCUACCCAGGCGGUGUACCAUACCAAUCAGAGACAGGCACAUACAAAGGCAGAGGAAAGAGAUCGAUUUCUGACGACGACGACUCCAAUCAAGCAUUCUUUGCCGGAGCCGAGGAAAUGGCCGCGUCCAUUGAAUCCAUCAAGAAGGAAAUCGAAGAAAUCCGAAGACCAAGCGGAACACAGACGAACCCUGCCCGAAGCUGCAAAGAUCUAUACCUAUGCAACAAGGGCAAACAAGACGGUA